rnacentral:lncRNA from 1 species
UAAGCUUAGGGUUCUAGAAAUUUCUCACCUGGUGCAAGGUGGUGAAAAUUUGAAGGAAGUGCGACUCACCGUCGAUCUGUCAAAGUCUGAGGUAGGAAAAGAAAAAGUUUCGCACGCUGGUGGUCACCCACGUAGUCCAACAAUGCUUGGGAUAUAGAUAGACGAGGGGCUGUUCGAAGGAGCCCAAGAUGGUGAUGCCUCAAGGAGCAGUUCACAACCUUUUCCUCGUUCAGGGUUUGUUGGUCUGUAGGAAGUCACGGUUGCCUCGACGGAGGGCAUCUUAGACCCAAGUAGGCACUCGAUCGUCGUGUUGAAAGCGAACGUCUGACCUGGGGUUUUGGUAAGCACAAAUAGCCCAGUAAAAAUGGGGUUUAGCGUAGAAGUAGAGGGUUUAGCGCGGUUGUGGGGGAAGAAAUAGUGGAAG